rnacentral:rRNA from 1 species
GACGAACGCUGGCGGCGUGCCUAAUACAUGCAAGUUGAACGCUAAAACUUUAACUGGUGCUUGCACCGACUUAAGUUUUUAGAGUAGCGGACGGGUGAGUAACACGUGGGUAACCUGCCCUAAAGUGGGGGAUAACAUUUGGAAACAGAUGCUAAUACCGCAUAAAACCUAGCACCGCAUGGUGCAAGGUUGAAAGAUGGUUUCGGCUAUCACUUUAGGAUGGACCCGCGGUGCAUUAGUUAGUUGGUGAGGUAAAGGCUCACCAAGACCGUGAUGCAUAGCCGACCUGAGAGGGUAAUCGGCCACACUGGGACUGAGACACGGCCCAGACUCCUACGGGAGGCAGCAGUAGGGAAUCUUCCACAAUGGACGAAAGUCUGAUGGAGCAACGCCGCGUGAGUGAAGAAGGUUUUCGGAUCGUAAAACUCUGUUGUUAGAGAAGAACAGGAGAAGUAGUAACUGGCUUCUUUUGACGGUAUCUAACCAGAAAGCCACGGCUAACUACGUGCCAGCCGCCGCCGUAACAC